UUUUGCUGGUUCCCUCUGAAGUUUCUCUCAGGAUAGUGGAACAUUUAACAGUUUUAUCAGGUAAAGCUAAUGAUUAGAGGAAUUGGGGUAUCUAUUACCUCGACCUAUUCUCAAACUUUAAAUUGGUAAGUCGGAUUGUUUUUUAAUUUAACACUCUGAUUAAAUGUUUGUUCCUAGUGGGCCAUUUUUGGUAAGCAGAACUGGCGAUGAGGGAUGCUCCUAACGAUGAGUUAAGGUGCCUAAUUCACAAUCAUCAGACACCACAAAAGGAGUUAAUUCAUUAAGACAGCAGGACGGUGUCCCUAAGAGCAGGAAUCCGCUAAGGAGUGCUUUCAAGCUCACCUGCCGAAUGAAUUAGCCCUGAAAAUGGAUGGCGCUAAAUUGUGAAACCGAUACUCAUCCAUCGAUACAAUUCAAUAUCGAUGAGUAAGAGGGCGAGGGCAUAGAUA
rnacentral:rRNA from 1 species